rnacentral:rRNA from 1 species
UGGGGAAUUUUGCACAAUGGGGGAAACCCUGAUGCAGCGACGCCGCGUGAUUUAGAAGGCCUUCGGGUUGUAAAAAUCUUUUCUAUGGGAAGAAAAUGACAGUACCAUAGGAAUAAGGACCGGCUAAUUACGUGCCAGCAGCCGCGGUAAUACGUAAGGUCCGAGCGUUGUCCGGAAUCAUUGGGCGUAAAGGGUACGUAGGCGGGUAAGCAAGUUAGAAGUGAAAUCCUAUAGCUCAACUAUAGUAAGCUUUUAAAACUGCUCAUCUUGAGGUAUGGAAGGGAAACUGGAAUUCCUAGUGUAGCGGUGAAAUGCGCAGAUAUUAGGAGGAAUACCGGUGGCGAAGGCGACUUUCUGGCCAUAACCUGACGCUGAGGUACGAAAGCGUGGGUAGCAAACAGG